rnacentral:lncRNA from 1 species
UUUAUAUUGAGCUGAUUGAGAUUUAGUUUUGUAAUUUUUUUCUUUAAAACAUUGUUGAUUGUUGUAGUGUUUCUCUGCAUGGUUUUUUUUGUUUUUGUUUUUUUAUGAUUUUCUUCGAAAUUAUAUUUUUUAAUAUUGAGUUGGUUAAAAAUUAUAUUUACAAUAUGUGAGGAAAACACUGUAACUUUCCUCGCAAAUUACUAUGGAUUGCUACAAUGUUUUUUCCCAC